UUUAUUUCUUUUCCGCUAUCGUUCCCCGCGACGUGAGCUCCAAGAUGAACCCCCAGCACCGGCGAAAGGCGGCGCCGCGCCGUCGUCUCGCAGCCACACGGAACGGAUAUCCAGAUGCGGCGGUGAACGCUACUUCCACUGUCAGGUGAUCACCGCGCUCGCCUCCUGUUCGUUACUCUUCACUCUGCGAGUGCGCGGUGGCUGCAUUUCAGUUUGCUCGUCGCGCAGCGGGUCGGUGCCGCGGGAGCGAUUCUCUGCCGCCGCCGCCCGCCGCUGACGAGCGCUUUGAUUCGGCGAUAAGCUUUCUCUAGGCACGGAACCACCAGGCGGUAUCUCAAGGAUUUCGUUAGCCGGAUUUAGGCUCUCAUGGCGGCAUUCAGAAAUGCCAUAGCAUAAUUGGGUUGUAUUGGUCUCAGUAUGGUGGGAUUGUGCAGGCAUACCCAUGAUGAUAGGGUCUAUCUCUAUCAUACAUAUCAAAUCUGUGGUUACUACUUUAGAGUUGAAGAGAUCAGCGCAGACUUCUUGUUGGAUUGGGCCUUAGCAUCCGGUGGUAAUUUUGGUGUUCUAACUAUCCCUAAUGCGAGUUUUAUUUUCAUUUCGGGCUGAUGUUUACUAAGCAUUUUUUUUUUCAUUUCACUGUUUCGAUCAUUGAAUUGGAAAACUUCACUUGUUAUGAAAUUAUGAUUAGUAUAUACUCCCUCAGAUCCAUAAAAAAUGCCGCUCAUUUUGUACUAAGUUAGUACAAAUUUUGUACAAGUGGACGACACUUUUUAUGGAUCAGAGGGAGUAUAUAUUUUCCCCAGCCUGUAUUUUUGAUUCGGCACUUUUGUUUCUGUCAUGGUGCCCCUCAAUUAGCCGGCAUAUUUACGGUUUGUUGCUGUUCUUAUUGUGCACAAUUCACAAGGGAAAUGCUUAGAUUGAUGGACCAGGCGACUACGCACAAUUUUUUCUCAUGGACAUGGGACACAUAAUUUGGGAAAAGGGAAAAUCCAGAUGAAUUACAAUAGUUCCGCAAUAUUGGUGUCACAAGCUGUACAAAAAAAGAACACUAAUGAGACCAGUGAGAACAAAAGUAGUAGAUGUUGCAAAAACUAUACAUCUACUCUGUGUGCUGUAGUAUAAUUUCCUAUUUACAUCAUAUUCUGACUGAAUUUUGCUUCUGAAGAUUACCAUCUCUGCUACUCAGGGCAGAUACUACCUCCUGGAUAGCUGGCCUCAAACUAGGAUUACGGUUGACACACCGGCAAG
rnacentral:lncRNA from 1 species